UGCAGGGUAGAGCAGUUGGCAGCUCGUCGGGCUCAUAACCCGGAGGUCGCGCGUUCGAGUCGCGCCCCUGCAA
rnacentral:tRNA from 1 species